rnacentral:rRNA from 1 species
GAUGAACGCUGGCGGUAUGCUUAACACAUGCAAGUCGAACGGUACCUUCGGGUAUAGUGGCGGACGGGUGAGUAACGCGUGAGAAUCUGUCUUCAGGUCGGGGACAACAGUUAGAAAUGACUGCUAAUACCGGAUGUGCCGAAAGGUAAAAGAUUUAUUGCCUGAAGUUGAGCUCGCGUCAGAUUAGCUAGUAGGUGGUGUAAGAGACUACCUAGGCGACGAUCUGUAGCUGGUCUGAGAGGACGAUCAGCCACACUGGAACUGAGACACGGUCCAGACUCCUACGGGAGGCAGCAGUGGGGAAUUUUUCCGCAAUGGGCGAAAGCCUGACGGAGCAAUACCGCGUGAGGGACGAAGGCUUUUGGGUCGUAAACCUCUUUUAUUAGGGAAGAUUUCAGGACGGUACCUAAUGAAUAAGCAUCGGCUAACUCUGUGCCAGCAGCCGCGGUAAU